rnacentral:tRNA from 1 species
GAGGGUAGAGCUCAGUGGUAGAGUGAAUGCUUAGCAUGCAUGAGGUCCUGAGUUCAAUCCCCAGUACUUCCA